UAUCUCUGUAGAGUCUGCAUAUCAAUAAGCGGAGGAAAAGGAACUAACUAGGAUUCCCUUAGUAAUGGCGAGUGAAGCGGGAAGAGCUCAAAUUUGAAAUCUUCAAGGUUUUACCUUGACGAAUUGUAGUUUAAAGAAGUGUUUUCUGUUGGUGAAUUUUGGUAAAAGUUCUUUGGAAAUAGGACAUCAUAAGAGGGUGAGAAUCCCGUAUUUGACCAUUAUUUCAGCUGUGUGAUACACUUUCAAAGAGUCGGAUUGUUUGGGAAUGCAGUCCAAAAUGGGUGGUAAAUUUCAUCUAAAGCUAAAUAUUGGCGAGAGACCGAUAGCGAACAAGUACCGUGAGGGAAAGAUGAAAAGAACUUUGAAAAGAGAGUUAAACAGUACGUGAAAUUGUCAAAAGGGAAGCGUUUGACACCAGUGUUGUUUUCUCGAAAAUCAAUUAAAAAAGAUUGGAUUUUGUGUUGUAUUGACUUUAUCAGCUUUCAGCACUCUUUUCUUGUCUUUUUUAAUGCACUUUUCGUUUAACAAGUCAACAUCAAUUUCUUUUGUUGUAAAAGGGUCAUUGGAAGGUGGCUUUCUUUUCGGAGAAAGUGUUUAUAGCCUUUGACUUCUGCAAUCGGAGAGAUUGAGGUCUGCAGCGUAGAUCCUUCGGGGUUAGAUACAUUUGUGCUAAGUUAUAGCCUUUCAUAGACAACUUGUUGACUAUGAUCAGUCAUGUAGCUUACUCGCUUAUGUUAUUUUACCUACGCUUAGGAUGUUGAUCUCUCACAGUCGAGC
rnacentral:rRNA from 1 species